GACGAACGCUGGCGGCGUGCUUAACACAUGCAAGUCGAACGGAAAGGCCCUGCUUUUGUGGGGUGCUCGAGUGGCGAACGGGUGAGUAACACGUGAGUAACCUGCCCUUGACUUUGGGAUAACUUCAGGAAACUGGGGCUAAUACCGGAUAGGAGCUCCUGCUGCAUGGUGGGGGUUGGAAAGUUUCGGCGGUUGGGGAUGGACUCGCGGCUUAUCAGCUUGUUGGUGGGGUAGUGGCUUACCAAGGCUUUGACGGGUAGCCGGCCUGAGAGGGUGACCGGCCACAUUGGGACUGAGAUACGGCCCAGACUCCUACGGGAGGCAGAAGUGGGGAAUAUUGCACAAUGGGCGGAAGCCUGAUGCAGCAACGCCGCGUGCGGGAUGACGGCCUUCGGGAUGUAAACCGCUUUCGCCUGUGACGAAGCGUGAGUGACGGUAAUGGGUAAAGAAGCACCGGCUAACUACGUG
rnacentral:rRNA from 1 species